rnacentral:rRNA from 1 species
UUAAUUUGAUCAUGGCUCAGAUUGCACGCGUGGUAGCAUGCUUUACACAUGCAAGUCGAACGGUAACAGGUCUUCGGAUGCUGACGAGUGGCGAACGGGUGAGUAAUACAUCGGAACGUGCCUAGUAGUGGGGGAUAACUACUCGAAAGAGUAGCUAAUACCGCAUGAGAUCUACGGAUGAAAGCAGGGGACCUUCGGGCCUUGUGCUACUAGAGCGGCUGAUGGCAGAUUAGGUAGUUGGUGGGGUAAAGGCUUACCAAGCCUGCGAUCUGUAGCUGGUCUGAGAGGACGACCAGCCACACUGGGACUGAGACACGGCCCAGACUCCUACGGGAGGCAGCAGUGGGGAAUUUUGGACAAUGGGCGAAAGCCUGAUCCAGCAAUGCCGCGUGCAGGAUGAAGGCCCUCGGGUUGUAAACUGCUUUUGUACGGAACGAAAAGCCUGGGGCUAAUAUCCCCGGGUCAUGACGGUACCGUAAGAUAAGCACGGUAACUAGUGCAGGC